CCAGCUGAUUAAUCAUUUCAUUGUUGUUUUAAAUGAAUGUUAAUUGCCACGUGCAUAUCUACAUGCCCAAUGUAUUAAAACGUUAGGUGGGAAUUUUUUGUCUAUGCUGCCGGAACACCCUCCGAGGGCAGGACCCUGUCGCUUAGCAACUCCGAACUCUCAUGGGGAGGGGCACAGCCACCAGCAUGCCAGCGGUGUGCCCUGCUUGCCAGCCAGCCCACAUGCAAGCACUGCACUGUGUAUAAGCGGUGCACUCCACAAGCGAGUGUAUCCCACGUGCAAACACUGCACCAUACAUGUGAGCGAGCCUCGUGCACAAGUAUGCCCCAUGUCAGUGCCCCCCCAUGCACAGGUGUGCCCCAUGUGUGAGCAGCGCACCUGAAAGCACCUGCACAGGGCUGGUUCAGCUGGGGCAUGGCAGGCAGUGCAGCCUUGCCCAUGUGGAACUAGCGAAGGGCUUGUUAUUGGUACCACAAGCCCUGGGGAGGGAGGCUGGAAGGUGCUAGAAUGUUUCCUCAUCAGUUGCAGCAGCAGGAGGGUUCUUGGUCUUGCUCAUUCUGGGUUCUUGCUGUUGUGCCAUGAAAAGAACAGCUCUUGCAAGACAGGAAAUCCCUCACCGUGCGCACAGUUGUUUGACCGUCUCACACAGUGAGAACAUGAUUAUCUCUCUCUACUCACACUGAUUUGGACUGUGUUUUGUUCACCUCAAAUAGCGCCUCUGUCCAUGAAGAGCUGUGUGUCAUCUCCAUGGAGCUACUCUUGGAAUAAGGAUUUCAUGACAUUGUUCAUUUGAGUAGGUCUUCAUGCUGUGAUUUUCCCCAUGCCAUCACUUCCUUACCUCUUAAGAACCCAACAAGGACAGGAUCUGGCAAAGACACAGCAAUGCACACA